GGAAUAUUAAGCUAAGAAAGAAGCUUCUAACUUCAGUCUAAGCGGUUCAACUCCGUUUAUAUUCCU
rnacentral:tRNA from 1 species